rnacentral:misc_RNA from 1 species
GAACGAGGGAGGACAAGAAAGCUGCCCAAAUGAAACUGAUAUACAAAAUUCCAUCGACAAUUGCAGUUGUGAGGUCUCGUCGAAGUUACAUGAAGAAAUUUCAUUGGCAUUACUUGAUCAUGAAAAAUAGAGAUUAUAUCUUAAGGUUUCCUCUAAGUGAUGGAACUAAUAAAAGCUUUCUACCAGCACAUUUUACCAUCUGCUCAUCCUCUGAGUGGGUAGAAGCAGACCUAGUAUACAUCAUUGUAGUGGAUACCAGUACAUCAUCUCCAAAUCCGCAUGCUCCGAAAAAUGGCUUCUGUAGAUCAGAACAGAGGGCUGCUAUGUCAUAUAUGUCUCUGUUCACAAGAAUCCUUAGUAUCCUUUGAACUAUCUUCCUGCCAAUGCCUCUUCUUCGUAGUGAAGGGAUGACCAUAACAUCAUAGAUUGCAGCAGUCAGUCCGGAAUCAGAAACAGCACGUCCAAAUCCAACCAAUUCUCCAUUUCCCGGCGUCACAGGCACUACCUUUCCGAUCCAAUCUCCACCAAUACCAGUUAAACCCGACCCGGAUACAUUCUCCGGAGCCAAAUCAGGUACAAAUUCGGGUCUCGUAAACACCGAAGCAACAACGUAGCUAUGAAGUAAAGCUUUUCGGAGCUUGUCGAUAUCUACCGGCUCAACUCUACCUUCGGAGUUCAGUUUCGGAAAACGGUGACAAGAAUGGUUGCAUGCGGUAUAGAGGUCUCUAAGGUGAAUUGGAUUUACGUCGUUAGGGUUUGUUGAGAUGAAUAGUGGCGGCGGCGUUGGCCUGAUUUGAGAGACUGUUGGCUGAGUGAAGCGGCGGAAUUUGGAGGGAAGAUAACCGCCGUUCACGGCGGC